GACGAACGCUGGCGGCGUGCUUAACACAUGCAAGUCGAACGGAAAGGCCCUGCUUUUGUGGGGUGCUCGAGUGGCGAACGGGUGAGUAACACGUGAGUAACCUGCCCUUGACUUUGGGAUAACUUCAGGAAACUGGGGCUAAUACCGGUAAGAGGCUCUGGUGGAAUGUGGGGGGUGGGAAGGUUUCGGCGGUUGGGGAUGGACUCGCGGCUUAUCAGCUUGUUGGUGGGGUAGUGGCUUACCAAGGCUUUGACGGGUAGCCGGCCUGAGAGGGUGACCGGCCACAUUGGGACUGAGAUACGGCCCAGACUCCUACGGGAGGCAGCAGUGGGGAAUAUUGCACAAUGGGCGGAAGCCUGAUGCAGCAACGCCGCGUGCGGGAUGACGGCCUUCGGGUUGUAAACCGCUUUCGCCUGUGACGAAGCGUGAGUGACGGUAAUGGGUAAAGAAGCACCGGCUAACUACGUG
rnacentral:rRNA from 1 species